rnacentral:sRNA from 1 species
GCGGGGUGUGAUGGCUCACACCUGUAAUCCCAACACUUUGGGAGGCCGAGGCAGGUGGAUCACUUGAGGUCAGGAGUUCGAAACCAGAGUGGCCAACAUGGCGACUCCCCGCCUCUACUAAAAAUACAAAAAAUUAGCUGGGCGUGGUGGCAGGUGCCUGUAAUCCCAGCUACUUGGGAGGCUGAGGCAGAAGAAUUUCUUGAACCUGGGUGGUGGUGGUGGAGGUUGCAGUGAGCCGAGAUCACACUAUUGCCCUCCAGCCUGGGCAAGAGAGUGAGACUCUGUCUCA